rnacentral:rRNA from 1 species
GACGAACGCUGGCGGCGUGCUUAACACAUGUAAGUCGAACGGAAAGGCCCUGCUUUUGUGGGGUGCUCGAGUGGCGAACGGGUGAGUAACACGUGAGUAACCUGCCCUUGACUUUGGGAUAACUUCAGGAAACUGGGGCUAAUACCGGAUAGGAGCUCCUGCUGCAUGGUGGGGGUUGGAAAGUUUCGGCGGUUGGGGAUGGACUCGCGGCUUAUCAGCUUGUUGGUGGGGUAGUGGCUUACCAAGGCUUUGACGGGUAGCCGGCAUGAGAGGGUGACCGGCCACAUUGGGACUGAGAUACGGCCCAGACUCCUACGGGAGGCAGCAGUGGGGAAUAUUGCACAAUGGGCGGAAGCCUGAUGCAGCAACGCCGCGUGCGGGAUGACGGCCUUCGGGUUGUAAACCGCUUUCGCCUGUGACGAAGCGUGAGUGACGGUAAUGGGUAAAGAAGCACCGGCUAACUACGUG